AGAGUUUGAUCAUGGCUCAGAACGAACGCUGGCGGCGUGCUUAACACAUGCAAGUCGAGUGCGCGCCUGUAGCAAUACAGGUGGCGCACGGCGCACGGGUGCGUAACACGUGGGUAACCUGCCCUUUGGUGGGGAAUAACUCCGCGAAAGCGAAGCUAAUUCCGCAUAAGAUCCGCAAGGAUGAAAGCCGAAAGGCGCCGAUGGAGGGGCCCGCGCACGAUUAGCUAGUUGGUAGGGUAAUGGCCUACCAAGGCUUUGAUCGUUAGCUGGUCUGAGAGGAUGGCCAGCCACACUGGAACUGAGACACGGUCCAGACUCCUACAGGAGGCAGCAGUGGGGAAUCUUGCACAGUGGGCGAAAGCCUGAUGCAGCGACGCCGCGUGGGGGAUGAAGCUUCUCGGAGUGUAAACCCCUUUCGAUCCGGACGAAUGCCCGCAAGGGAUUGACGGUACGGAUAUAAGAAGCCCCGGCUAACUACGUGCCAGCAGCCGCGGUAAUACGUAGGGGGCCAGCGUUGUUCGGAAUUACUGGGUGUAAAGGGUUCGUAGGCGGUGCGGCAAGUUGGGAGUGAAAUCUCUGGGCUCAACCCAGAGGCUGCUUCCAAAACUGCCGUGCUUGAGUGUGGGAGAGGCUCGUGGAAUUGCAGGUGUAGCGGUGAAAUGCGUAGAUAUCUGCAGGAACACCCGUGGCGAAAGCGGCGAGCUGGACCACUACUGACGCUGAAGAACGAAAGCUAGGGGAGCAAACAGGAUUAGAUACCCUAGUAGUCC
rnacentral:rRNA from 1 species